UACGUAGGUCACAAGCGUUGUCCGGAUUUAUUGGGCGUAAAGGGAGCGCAGGUGGUCUGUUAAGUCUGAUGUGAAAGCCUACGGCUCAACCGUAGAACUGCAUUGGAAACUGGCAGACUUGAGUGCAGAAGAGGAAAGUGGAAUUCCAUGUGUAGCGGUGAAAUGCGUAGAUAUAUGGAGGAACACCAGUGGCGAAGGCGACUUUCUGGUCUGUAACUGACACUGAGGCUCGAAAGCGUGGGGAGCAAAC
rnacentral:rRNA from 1 species